GAUUUGAACUCAGGACCUUCAGGACCUUCAGUAGAGUAGUCAGUGUUCUUAACCGCUGAGCCAUCUCUCUAGCCCUAAACAGAUACUUUAAAAAAAAAAGAUUGAAGUAACUAUGCCAGACAGCUUGUUGUCAGGAUGGUGGCAUCUAUGGGAAGUGGGUCUCUGAUUUCCAGAUGUUUUGAAUAGAAUUGGUUUUAUGAUUAAAAAAAAAAAAAUCCAUGUAUGUGAAGAAAAUAAAGUGUUCCUUUCCAGAAAAGGCUUGCAUCUCAUCUGCGGAGCUUGGCAGUAGUAGUUUGCUCUUUUCCAGAUAGCUAGCGGUUGAGGAGCCACGCCCAUCCAUGCCGCUCACAGAGCAAAGGAUCAUGGGGGCACUGGGAUGGAGCACCAGCUUGAAGGCACGGACUUCAAGAAAGCCUUCUGGAAAGAAUAACUUGAAGGUGACCUUUUCAAACGAGGAGGAGGGUAGCCCAGUGGAUUAAGAAAGAAAGAUGUUCCCGAUAUAAAUAACCACGUGGGAUCGGAGGGGAAAGCUGAGACGAGAAGGUUCAUCUGAUCCUGGUAGACAAAGUACCUCUGCAGUGGAGGAGGUGAUGUGAGCUUGCAGACGGCUGAGGGACACGGCUGUCUGCCACCAAUGGGAACCGUUUUGCCUUCUUUGGGAAGCAUUAGCUCUGUUGUCAGAGCUGCUAAGAACACAUGUGGGGAGGUGUGAUUUUGUGGGUGAGGAGUCUCUGAAACAGUGGUCCUUGCUCAAGGCCUGUCUCAGGCUUAGUUCUGGGCUCGGGAUAAGAAAGAUCUAAAGUGCAGACGUACCCCAGAAUAAGGCACAGAUGCUUUGGGGACCAAGGAGACCACCCUCAAGGGCUGCGGAGAUGGCUCAGUGGAUAACAUGGAAACCUCAGUCCACAUCCCCAGCCCUGCAUCAAAGCUGGGCUUAGUGACGGAGACCUGCUACUUCAGCGUUGUGGGGCAGAGACAGGCAGAUUUCUAGAGCUCUGUGGUCAGUUGGUGACCCCACAAAGGGAGAGUCUGUGUUUUAAGACUUGAGCAACAUACAACAUAGACUUCAUCCAAGGAGUGAGGUUUAACAUUAAAGUUUAACGACAUAGACUUGUCUGAUUGUGUGUGUUUAAUCAUAAUUAAACACGUGUAUAGUAUUGGGCAAUGUUACCACUGAAUGCUACUCUGGAAGCAUGUUGAGGGCUGUGUAGCAAUCCUUUAUUUUAAUAAACUAAUGGGUUAAUUAAUUAAUAUAGAUUUUUUUUGAGACAGGGUUUCCCUGGUUAGCCCUGGCUGACCUGGAACUUGAUUUUUAGACUAGGCUGGCCUCGCACUCACAUCGACCUGCCUUCCUCUGCCUCCCGAGGGCUGGGACUAAAGGCGUGCGUUAACACUCUCACAAUACUCUGCUUUUACCAUCGAGGAAACUGAGGCUCAGAGAGCAGAUGGAGGCCACCUGGCUGAGGUUCUGGCUCUUCUUAUUGUCUGCUGAGUGGUAUUGCUUAGCAUCUAUCCUAAGAGCCCUUU
rnacentral:lncRNA from 1 species